rnacentral:rRNA from 1 species
GCCAGGACUAGCCCCAAACGUAAUCAACACUAAUAACAAGUCAACACACACUAAACCAUUCACCUACACAAAGUAUAGGCGAUAGAAAUUUUAAUCUGGCGCUAUAGAUACAGUACCGUAAGGGAAAGACAGAAAAACCACCCAAGCACAAAACAGCAAGGACUAACCCCUGUACCUUUCGCAUAAUGGAUUAGCUAGAAACAAUUUUACAAAGAGAAUUACAAGCCAAAUUCCCCGAAACCAGACGAGCUACCCAAAAACAGCUAAAAGAGCGCACCCGUCUAUGUAGCAAAAUAGUGGGAAGAUUUCUGGGUAGAGGUGACAAGCCUACCGAGCCUGGUGAUAGCUGGUUAUCCAAGACAGAAUCUUAGUUCAACCUUAAGCUUACCUACAGAACCACCUAAUCCCCCUGUAAGCUUAAUUGCUAGUCUAAAGAGGGACAGCUCUUUAGACACUAGGAAAAAACCUUACAGAGAGAGUAAAAACCCUAAUUACCAUAGUUGGCCUAAAAGCAGCCAUCAAUUAAGAAAGCGUUCAAGCUCAACAUCAACCAUCUCAAAAAUACCAAACACAUAACUGAACUCCUCACAUCAUAUUGGAUUAAUCUAUAGCCAUAUAGAAGCAAUAAUGCUAGUAUAAGUAACAUGAAUAUUUUCUCCACUGCAUAAGCCUAAAUCAGACCGAAAGCCUCACCGAUACUUAACAGCCAGGCAUAACAAACACAAACUAGUCCAUGCCACCUUCACUGUUAACCCAACACAGGCAUGCCCCAAGGAAAGGUUAAAAAAAGUAAAAGGAACUCGGCAAACUCAAACCCCGCCUGUUUACCAAAAACAUCACCUCUAGCAUUACUAGUAUUAGAGGCACUGCCUGCCCGGUGACACACGUUUAACGGCCGCGGUACCCUGAC